GAUGAACGCUGGCGGCGUGCCUAAUACGUGCAAGUCGAGCGAAUGGAUUAAGAGCUUGCUCUUAUGAAGUUAGCGGCGGACGGGUGAGUAACACGUGGGUAACCUGCCCAUAAGACUGGGAUAACUCCGGGAAACCGGGGCUAAUACCGGAUAACAUUUUGAACCGCAUGGUUCGAAAUUGAAAGGCGGCUUCGGCUGUCACUUAUGGAUGGACCCGCGUCGCAUUAGCUAGUUGGUGAGGUAACGGCUCACCAAGGCAACGAUGCGUAGCCGACCUGAGAGGGUAGUCGGCCACCCUGGGACUGAGACACGGCCCAGACUCCUACGGGAGGCAGCAGUAGGGAAUCUUCCGCAAUGGACGAAAGUCUGACGGAGCACCGCCGCGUGAGUGAUGAAGGCUUUCGGGUCGUAAAACUCUGUUGUUAGGGAAGAACAAGAGCUAGUUGAAUAAGCUGACACCUUGACGGUACCUAACCAGAAAGCCACGGCUAACUACGUGCCAGCCGCCGCGGUAA
rnacentral:rRNA from 1 species